ACCCAAUGGUGAGGGCAUCUUCGUAAAAGGUCCUUGUAUCUCUCCCACGCAUCGUAGAGUGUUUCUAAAUCCAUCUGCACAAAAGAGGAGAUAUCAUUACGUAAUUU
rfam:Gossypium hirsutum cultivar TM-1 chromosome 2, whole genome shotgun sequence